AUCAGACCUGCCUUAACUCUCCCCUCUGCCUUCUUUCAGGUGCUGGAUUCGGCCUAGGUGUGGUCUUCUCCGUCAUCUUCUUCAAAAGAAAGACCUGGCCGCUCGCUUUCGGCUCGGGGAUGGGCCUAGGAAUGGCAUAUUCCAACUGCCAACACGACUUCCAGGCCCCGUACCUUCUCCACGGGAGAUUCAUGAAGGAGCAGUGAUGGGGUCCUGACCUUUCUGUGGCAGAGCAGCGGAGACACCUCGGCCUCCUCCUCCUCCUCUCCGUGGGGAGACAGGCACCCUUAGAGACCCGUGGACUUGCCGGCUGCCCCUCUGGGGAGGGGGCGGCUGCCACCCACCACCACCACUGCGCCUCCAAGCAAAUCUCGAUUUUGUAUCUUCUUCUUUGGGGGGGAACAGCAGGGAAAGGGGCCGUUCUGGGAAAGGCAAUAAAACUGACAAAGCGUUAUCCUC